CAUCAUCUUUCUUUACAAAUUAUCCAGUUCCAUUUGUUUGGGGCGUUUUCUUCCUUAACUCCCAUGGAAAAAUAAAUACAUCAUUUUUUUUUUGAACUGUGGGUGGAAUGAACUCUUUAGAAAUUGAUAUGGGCAUCCUCUUGGCUAGAUUCCUGCCACUCAACCAAGUAAAGGAACUCACGCGGCUGCAGGACUAAGCUCCUCCCACGUCUGCCGCUGUGGUUGGAUGUGCAGGCUGAGAGCGUCGUCUUGGAUCCUAGCACCGUGCCUAGUACACAGUAGGUGUUCAGCACAUGCCUGCUAGACUGACAUGUCAGAUAGUGUUUCAGUUUACCCAAUAGUCAUGAGUGUCAGAAUAGCUGGCUGUCGGCUGGAGCUCGGAGUACAUUCCAGGCCUUUUCAGAUUAAUGCCAAGAAAAUAUAUGCAGAAGAGACACCCAUGUCAUUGAACAAGAGGUUCUAAUAUUACAUAACAGGUAAUGUAAUUUCCCAUUUUACUAUUUGAUAGUCCUGUCUAUAGCAUACUCAGAGGAACCCUUGGGGAGUUGAGGGAUUUAUGAGUUCCACAAAUCUUUCUCAAUGCUGCUACCUUAUGUAUCACAUUUAAAUAUGGCUAUUCUUCAUUAAGAAAAAUCAAACAUCCACAAUAGCCAUGACAGCAACAGAAUAUUUAUUGUGCUUCUCCUCCAUUGUGCGAUGCUUAUGAUAUCAAAGGGUUUUUAUGGUGUUGGAAUUGUUCCUCCAGGGCAAAUAGGUGACUAAUGAUUAGAAAGACUGGUCUAUGGUCUAUGCAAGGGGUCAGCAAACUAUAGGACCAGACCCAACUCUUGUCUGUGGCUUGCUUUUGUAAAUAAAGUUUUAUUGGAACACUGCC
ensembl:lincRNA